rnacentral:rRNA from 1 species
GUGGGGAAUAUUGCACAAUGGGCGGAAGCCUGAUGCAGCGACGCCGCGUGGGGGAUGACGGCCUUCGGGUUGUAAACUCCUUUCGACAGGGACGAAGCUUUUUGUGACGGUACCUGUAUAAGAAGCACCGGCUAACUACGUGCCAGCAGCCGCGGUAAUACGUAGGGUGCGAGCGUUGUCCGGAAUUACUGGGCGUAAAGAGCUCGUAGGUGGUUUGUCGCGUCGUCUGUGAAAUUCCGGGGCUUAACUUCGGGCGUGCAGGCGAUACGGGCAUAACUUGAGUGCUGUAGGGGAGACUGGAAUUCCUGGUGUAGCGGUGAAAUGCGCAGAUAUCAGGAGGAACACCGAUGGCGAAGGCAGGUCUCUGGGCAGUUACUGACGCUGAGGAGCGAAAGCAUGGGUAGCAAACAGGA